rnacentral:rRNA from 1 species
GAUGAACGCUGGCGGCGUGCCUAAUACAUGCAAGUCGAGCGAACAGACGAGGAGCUUGCUCCUCUGACGUUAGCGGCGGACGGGUGAGUAACACGUGGAUAACCUAACUAUAAGACUGGGAUAACUUCGGGAAACCGGAGCUACUACCGGAUAAUAUAUUGAACCGCGUGGUUCAAUCGUGAAAGUAGGUUUUGCUGUCAGUUAUAGACGGCUCCGCGCCGCAUUAGCUGGUUGGUAAGGUAACGGCUUACCAAGGCAACGAUGCGUAGCCGACCCAAGAGGAUGAUCGGCAACACGUGAGCGAGGACACGGCCCAGACUCGUGGGUGAGGCAGGAGUAGGAAAUCUUCCGGAAUGAGCGAAGGCCUGACGGAGAAACGCGGCGUGAGUGAUGAAGAGCUACGGAUCGUAAAACGCUGUUAUUAGGGAGGAACAAAUGUGUAUGUCACUAUGCACGACUGACCGUAACGGAAGAAGAAGCCCCGGCUAACCUCCUG